UACUUUCUGGCAAGUUUCUAUACG
rnacentral:piRNA from 1 species